UUUUAUAUCAUUUCUUUCUCUCUCCUCAAUCACUCUUUUAGUUUCUCCCAAACCCUCAAUCUCUUUUUUCAAUUUCUCUUCAUCUCCCCCAGAUCUGAUUGAAUCGCUCCAGUCAACUCUCUCGCGACCUAGCCCGGCGUUCCUUCUGCUCCGGUCAACUCUCUCGCAAAAUUUCUCCUUUAGAAGGAAAAGAGAAUAUUGAUAAGAUUUUGAAGAAGUUAAAAGAUGAAGGCCAUCAAGUCUCUGAAAAUUAUAAAACCUUUACACGUGUUUCUGUUCGACGACUUGGUCACCUCAUACUAGAUGCCCGCUGGGUCGUUGGGAUUCUAGUGAUCCAAAGUUAACUGUACAUGGAAAGCCUCUUGGACCAGACUUUAUGAGAGUAUGGGUUGAUGCUGAUAUUGUACAAGAAUCUUACUUAUUUCGUCCUAAUAAUGCGAUGCUUACAAUACAAGAAGCAGUUGGUUGACAGUUGCAUGGCCUUCUAAAAAAGUUAUUCCAAGAGAUGUGACAAGCGAAAUAGAAAAAGAUAUUUAAUUUUGAAGGCUUUGUGUUGGGCAACUGUAUAAUAUUUUGUGCUGAAAGUAGUAACUUUUCAAUAUGUUGAAUAUUUAAGACCACUUGAAUACUUAAAGAACAUUUUGUUGUUGAUGACAGUGUUGAAUGUUUUAAACUAAUUUGUGGAUUGUUAAUACAAUGUUGAAUGUUUUUACUUUUUGUUAUUUGAAAAUCAAGUUCAUUUGA